UUUUUUGGUUUUUCAAAAUCACGACCCGGCCGUUUUUGUGUGGUGGUGAACGCGGUCCAGCAAUUAUUCUCGCCGGUGAAGGGCAGGUUAGCCGGGACUCGGGAGGAUAGAUGAGUCUUCUUGCGGCCGCGGUCAUUUGACGAAGCUCAGUUCCAAGCACCGGACUCAAUUUGAGCGAGUAUCCACGGGAUGACCGGCUCGGUUGAUUUGACGCGGUGCAUCGGGCGCAGCUCAAAAAUCAUGAUCUUGUGAGCUCUUCAGCUUGAUGCAACAAACCUUCC
rnacentral:lncRNA from 1 species